AAAGGCUGGAUUUGUCUGAUAGAACAAUGAAAACCAAACUUAAAAGGAGUUAGAAAAAUUGAAGAAGAAGAAAUUAAAAAAGAAAAAUAACAAGAAGUGGUCCUGAAUUGCCCAACUUGCACAAGCCACCGAGGCAGCAUCAGUGUCAUCAACCUCUGAUCCCACAGAGUUUGUCAAAACAGGUAUUCCUGAACCAAGACCAACAAGUACACCGCUAACACCAAUUUUCAACAGCGAAGGCUGCCUAGUAUUCAGCAAAUUUGAUUUAGGAGAACUAUCUAAUCCCUGACCCAUUCUGAACAAGAACACUUUAGAUUGAAAAUUAGCAACGAUAAAAAAAAACUCAAAGCCAAAGUGAAAAUCUUGGAUGGCCAAGCUGAAGUUGGAAUGUGAGAAGUAUUGAAGAGAAACAGGCAUGAAAAGGUGCUUUGCAAAGAGCUGAAGGUUUUCAGGUAAAAAACAAUGUGGAAUGGCUUGCUAAAUCUAUUAUGAAACAAGAUGAAAUCAAAUCAGAUAGUAAAAAGAAGUUGGCUGAACGCAUCGAAGAAUAGGAAAAGAGAAAGGAAUAACAACAGAAAACGAGAAAAGCCAACAUUAAGAAAAAGAAAACUGAGAAGAAAGAACAUAAACUGAAUGAACGCCUCACACUUAACAGAGGAAAAGCUGGAAUUGUCUGAUAAGACAACGAAAAUCCAAUUUAAACGGAAGUUAGAGGGAAUGAAGAAGAAAUUAAAAAGAAAAAGUAAGAAGAAGAGGUCCUGAAUUGCCAAACAUGCUCGAGCCACCAAGGCAGUAUCUGUGUCAUCAACCUCUGGUCUUUCAGAGUUUGUUAAAACAGAAAUUCCUCAACCAAGACUAGCAAGUACACUGGCAACACCAAUUUUUAACAGUGAAGGCUGCCUAGUUUCCAGCAAAUUUGAUUUUGGAGAACUAUCUAAUUCCUCACCCAUUCUGAAAAAGACCACUUUAUAUCCAGAAGUGGCAACGAUUAAAAUGAAAGAAAAUAAAACUUAAACCAAAAAUGAAUAUCUUGGUAGGCCAAGCUGAAGCUGAGAAUGCAAGAAGCAUUGAAGAGAAACAGGCAUGAAAUGGUGCUCUGCAAAUAGCUGAAGGUUUUCAGGUAAAAGACUAUGUGGAAUUGCUUGCCAAAUCAAUUAAUGAACGAGAUCAAAUCAGAAAGUAACAUAAAUUGCGCUGAACGAAUCGAAGAAAAGGAAAAGAGAAAGGAAUAACAACAGAAAAAGAGAAAAGCCAAC